GCCGCAGUUUCCUGUGCUAAGGUAGCGCAAUAACUUGCCUUCUAAUUAAAGGAUCGUAUGAAAGGACACAUGACUUUCUUAUUUUCUCAUAUAUUUUAAAAUAAAUUUAACCUACAAGUAAAAAGACUUGUAUUAACAAGAAAGACGACAAGACCCUAUAGAACUUCACUAUUGUUAAACUGGGGUGGUCAACAACAAAAGCUUAUCUUCCCAAACCACACAAAGACCUGAAACUUUCAACAAAAGAACAAGUUACCUUAGGGAUAACAGAGUAAUUCCUCUCUAGACCUGUUCCAAAGAGGAGCUUUCUACCUCGAUGUUGAAUUUAAUAUUACUUCAUAAAUAAACAUUAUACAAGUAGGUCUGUUCGACCUUUAAAAUAUUACAUGAU
rnacentral:rRNA from 1 species